rnacentral:lncRNA from 1 species
UAGUGCUGGCUUUUUACAUCAAUAAUAUCCUUACAUUACCUAGUAAUAAAAUGCUUGCCCCUCCUGCUGAAUAGUGUUCCAGUCUAAUGGCUUUUCGCAAAGCUGCUUUGCAAUUUACAGUAGCUCCAUCUGGGCUCUUGCUUAUGUGACUCUUGAUGCUGUACAACCAAAUUGGGUCUCUUACAAAUCUUUAUACACCUUUCUGCCUUAAAUUUCCUCUAUCAUUUCAAUAAAGCUUUCCAAGACUUAGGUUGAUGCCAUGGAUUCCAGUUUUAUUGGUGAUUCUUCCUUUUCCUCUUCUUGGGAUCCAGGUAUAUUAAAAGUCCUAGCAAGAUCCUUCACGUCAGUAUCCUCUAAGCAAUUGUUAAAAACUUGCAAAGUUUGAUAAUGAAAAAAUAGCACCACCUCUUUUCCAUCCUAGCAAGAUCCCUCACAUCAGUAUCCUAUAAGCAAUCGUUAAAAACUUGCAAAGUUUGAUAAUGAAAAAAUAGCACCGCCUCUUUUUCCCUCUACACUUGUGAUUUUAGAUCCCUUAGCAAGAUCCAAAAGAGAGACCAGUUGGCCGAUGUGAGGUAUUGCCUUAAAACUCUCCUUCCAGAUCAUUUUUGGAGCCUUAUAUGAUAUGCUUAGUUGUUCCGAUGGCAAGCAACCUCUACUUCCAAUCGAGAGGUUGUGAGUUCGAGUAUCCCUAAUAGCAACGUGGGAAGAGAUUCCAAUCGAGAGGUUGUGAGUUCGAGUAUCCCUAAUAGCAACGUGGGAAGAGAAGGAUGCCGGGGUCUAUUUGAAAACAGUCUCUCUAUCCCAGGAUAGGAUUAAUGUGCAUACACACUACCCUCUCCAGACCCCACUAAGUGGCAUUAUACUGGGUUGUUGUUGUUGUAUAUGAUAUGCGGAGUCAUAAACGACAUGGUGCAUCCAUUCUUCAGAUGAAAUGGCUUGCAAAGACUAGCAAUAAUUGUAUUAUCCUCCUAAUGAUCCAGUAGCUUAAAUUAUUGAUGACACCCUUCGCCUUAUGACUCAAUUGGGAAGAGAUUACGAACAAGGAAUUCAAGUAAACAUUCCGAGAGAGAUGGAAAAUAAGUAUGGAUUGAAAUCAAGGGGGAAGAGAAUUGAAUUCAUACAUGAAAUUCCUUACAUAGGAAAGUCAAACAGAGGUUCAAUGAAGAGAUACAAGGGUUCUUCCCUUUACACUCACAAUGAGCCUCAAUAUUUCAAUCAACAAAAACUAAUGAACUAUAACCCUACUGGCAACUAUUUAUGCUAGGGAUUACAUUUGAUUUAAGUAAUUUACCAAAAUACCCUUAGAAUUCAUCUUAAUUAAAAUAUGCUAGAGGGGCUAAGUCUUGGUUUCCUCCUUGUAAAUAACCACUUAAGCAUAUUGUAGACCUUCAAAUCCUCUUAGAUGGCUCUCUUAAGGUUUCUUAAGAUCUUAAAAGAUGUUAGAAGUCUCCAAGUUCAUGAGUGCUAACUCGGGAGUUAGCAGAAGUCCUAGAAUAUAUUUUUGAGAUAAGUCGGCUCUUCCGUUUACAUUUGGGGUUCUUGGAUUUGAUUGUAUGUGAUAUGUAAUAUUUCAAGUAAUUAGGCGAAAAAGUUGGAGUAUGUACUUUGGAUUAGAUGGGUUUUGGUGGAAAAUGGAUUACUUGGAUAAAAUAUUGCAUAACAAUUGUAAGGCUUUCAAUACUGAUCAAUGGAGAACCAACUGGCUUCUUCCCUUCACAGAGGGGUCUGAGACAAGGAGACCUGCUGUCCCCGUUUUUAUUCAUUAUUGCUAUGGAAGGCUUGAACGAUAUGCUAAAAAGAGCACAGACAAACAACUGGAUCAGAGGCUUCAAGGUGAACUGCAGGGCUGAUAGCGACAUGAGGAUUUCACAUUUACAGUAUGCUGAUGAUACUUUGGUGUUAUGUGAAGUUGAUACAGAACAAUUGAAAGCAAUUUCUGGACUACGCAUAAAUUGGCACAAAAGCUUCAUUUAUCCGGUAAAUGAGGUAAUGGAAUUACAAAGUCUUGCUGAUAUUCUAGGGGGGAAUGUAGGUGAACUGCCUACUGUACACUUGGGCAUGCCACUGGGUGCCAAGAGUAAGUCCAAAGGAAUAUGGAAUGGAGUGUUGGAGAAGUGUGAAAAGAAGCUAGCAAAUUGGAAGAAUCAUUAUCUAUCUAUGGGGGGCAGACUAAUUCUGAUCAAUUCUGUACUAGAUGCUUUGCCUACUUAUAUGAUGUCUCUCUUCCCGAUUCCAAUCAAUGUAGUGAAGAGAAUUGACACAUUAAGAAGGAAUUUCCUAUGGGAAGGCAACAGUGAGAAGAAAAAGAUCCACCUGGUAAAAUGGAAAUGUUAGACUAAUUCUGAUUAAUUCUGUACUAGAUGCUUUGCCUACUUAUAUGAUGUCUCUCUUCCAGAUUCCAAUCAAUGUAGUGAAGAGAAUUGACGCAUUAAGAAGGAAUUUCUUAUGGGAAGGAAACAAUGAUAAGAAGAAAAUCCACCUGGUAAAAUGGAACAGUGUAAUUGCUAGCAAAAAGGGAGCGUAGGAAUAAAAAACAUGAGAAUUCAGAACCAAAGUUUGAUGAUGAAGUGGCUAUGGAAGCUUGCAGCAAAUGAAAAAUUAUUGUGGACAGAGUUAGUUACGGAGAAAUACGGAACAAAAGGAAAAUGGACAACCAGAUCAGUGAGAACUCCAUAUAGUGUCAGUGUAUGGAAGUCAAUUAGGAAUCUGUGGCCAAAAAUGAUUAACAAAUGCAAGUUCAAGGUAGGAAAUGGUAGAAAGAUUUCAUUGUGGGAUGACAAUUGGCUAGGACAAGGACCAUUGAAGGAUAUCUUUCGUGACAUUUAUUCCUUGAAUCACAACAACAAAUAACAUUACACGAGGCAUAGACUAAUCAUGGAUGGAAUCUUACAUUCAGAAGAAGGCUAAAUGAUUGGGAGAUUGAGAGAAUAAUUGACUUAUACAAUACUUUGGAGCGAUUCAGUGGUAUUAACUCUAAUCAAGAUCUUAUGGUAUGGCAAAGGAAUAGGCAGGGGAAGUUUACUGUUGGGUCUGCUUACAAGGAAUUCAACUUGUUUAACAAUCAAGUUGGUUGUUGGCCAUGGAAGAUGAUACGAAAAGUAAAAAUUCCAUAUAAGGUUGCUUGCUUUACAUGGAUACUGGCAAAAGAGGCAGCACUAACACAAGACAACUUAAUCAAAAGAGGAUUCAGUCUGUGUUCCAGAUGUUACUUAUGUGAAGAAGAGACAGAGACAAUUAGUCAUCUUUUUUUGCACUGCAAAAUCACUACAAAUCUAUGGAGAAUAUUCAUCAGCCUAAGGGGAAUUUCAUGGGCAAUGACGGGGAGAAUUAAUGAUGUUCUAAAUUGCUGGAAUAAAGAGAGCAACAAGUCUAGCCACAAAGAGAGAUGGAGAAUAGUUCCAGCAUGCAUAUGGUGGUCAAUAUGGAAAGAGAGAAAUCAAAGAUGUUUUGAAGACAAAUCCAAUAACAUCAAGAAGAUAAAGAUGAAAUAUUUGGCUCUUUUUUAUUUUUGGUGUAAAGGAAAGUAUAUGGAGGACCAUGAAUCUAUUUUUGAUGUUCUAGAUACAUUGUGAUAUGAUUAAGAUUUUCUUUUAGGCAUUUCCCUUGUAAAUAUGGGUGAAUUCACUAUUUUAGUGAAGUCGUUUUAUUAAUAUAUAAUAUGUUACCUUCUUCAAAAACAAAAAAGUUAGGUUGAUUUACUUUUUGACGAAGGAUGUACUACUAGUCCAAGAGAGUCUGCAUGAUUUUAUUGCAUGUCAUAGAACUGCUUUUGCUUGGUAUUUUUUAAAGGGGGCUGUUGCCAUAUGCAGAUCCAAAUAUAAUCUUAUUCUCUACACUUGAAAUUGUUCUGAUGUAGUUUGAUGUUCUGAAAAGCCCUAGGAUGAGGCCUCUUGGAUGUUAUUUCAUGUAAACUAACCAAGUUGUGAUGGAAUAUGCAGGAAAGGCUGAAUCAUGGAUGUUUGUUAAUGAAGGGGUGCGCAAGAAGUCAUAGUUGCCUAAGAGGACUCCCAUGUUGCUAAUACUCCAUAUAUUUUAGCUCAUUUACAUUGUACAUUUGUUGAUAAUCCUUACAGAC